rnacentral:rRNA from 1 species
UACGUAGGGGGCAAGCGUUGUCCGGAUGUACUGGGCGUAAAGGGCUCGUAGGCGGCCAACUAAGUCGGACGUGAAAUCCCUCAGCUUAACUGGGGAACUGCGUCCGAUACUGGAUGGCUUGGAUUUGGGAGAGGGAUGCGGAAUUCCAGGUGUAGCGGUGAAAUGCGUAGAUAUCUGGAGGAACACCGGUGGCGAAGGCGGCAUCCUGGACCAAUAUUGACGCUGAGGAGCGAAAGCCAGGGGAGCAAACGGG